GGAGCAGGUUGAUCAGCUUGUUGGAAAGAACCAUCUCUUCAAACGCAGUAUUAUCUUAAUCAAAGCUUGGUGCUAUUAUGAAAGCCGAAUUCUUGGUGCACACCAUGGACUGUUAUCAACGUAUGCGAUAGAAAUACUGGUCUUGUAUAUCGUGAAUCGUUUUCAUUCGUCACUGCGUGGUCCUCUGGAGGUUCUAUACAUAUUCUUGGACUACUACGGUUCAUUUGACUGGGACCAUAAUUAUGCUAGUAUAUGGGGUCCAAAAGCCUUAUCCUCACUUCCUGAAAUUGUUGAAACACCAGAAUGUGAUCAGAGUGGAUUCUUGCUCCAGAAAGAGUUUCUCAAAAACCACAGGGAUAUGUGCUCUUCUAGCAUAAGAGCAUCGGAGACAGUGACUCCUGAAUUUCCCGUUAAGCAAAUGAACAUCUUGGAUCCUCUAAGAAAUGAUAACAACGUUGGUCGUUGUGUCAACUUAGCCAAUUUACAUCGAAUAAGAUUAGCUCUUUCCUAUGGUGGUCGAAGGCUGAAGCAGGCCCUCACACUUCCAGGAGAAAACAUGGGUUCAGCACUUGAGAAGUUUUUCUUCUGUACUUUGGAAAGGAAUGGGAAAGGAGAAAGGGCAGAUGUUGACAUUCCUGUUUGUCCAUUUGGUACUGGAAG
rnacentral:sRNA from 1 species